ensembl:snRNA LOC120098441 U6 spliceosomal RNA
GUGCUUGCUUCGGCAGCACAUAUACUAAAAUUGGAACAGUACAGGGAAGAGUAGCAUGGUCCCUGUGCAAGGAUGUCAUGCAAAUUCAUGAGGCAUUAUAAAAGAAG